UCUGUCUGUGAUGAUUGUGUUAUCCCCCUUGGUUGAGUUUAAAGACCAUGAGAAAUUUAACAAACACGACUAUCUGAGAUAGG